UGGGUAUUUAAUUCUGUGCUGCUUUAAAUCAAUGCUUUAUUUCCUCCCCUUUUUUUCUUUCUUUCUUUCUUUUUCUUUUUUUUUCUGAGAAGGUACCUGCAGUUAUCUCAGUUCAGUUCCCUGCUAGGAGUUUUAGUGAAGAAUGGUGGUUUGUGGUUGGAGGGUAGCUGUCUCAUCAUCAUUUGGGAGCUGGUGACACUAGACUUGCUGAUGUGCCCUGAGAGAGCAUUAAGAAGACAAAUUUGCAUUUAGAGAACCUGGGCCUGCUUCCAUCAUUUGAAGGCUGAGGAGGCUUGAGGCGCGCAUCCAUACAGCUGUGGAAGAGAUGCUGCUGUCAUUGGCCAAAACCAGCCCCGGAGACAGCAUGAUCCUGUCUUGCUACAUCCUAUCUCCUGGUACCUCAGCACGUGACUGUAUUUGGAGUUAGGGUCUUAAAGAGAUGAUGAAGUCAAAAUGAGGCUAUUUUGGUGGGCCCUCACUCAAUAUGACUGAUGUCCUUAAAAGAAUAAUAGAUAAAGACACAGAUGGGUACAGAGGGAAGGAAGAUGUGAAGACACAGGGGGAAUAUGGCCUCUACAAGCCACAAAGAGAUGCCUCAGAAGAAACCAAUCCUGUCGACACCUUGAUCUUUGACUUCCAGCCUCCAGAAUUGUGAGACAAU
rnacentral:lncRNA from 10 species